AAGGUCGAAAGGGGAGAUUCAGUAUCCGUUCCUCGCGGCCGCUCCCCGUCGCGGGUACAACUCCGGUCGGACCCCUCGCGGGGUUGGACCGGGGCCCGCGGCGGGGUCUCGCGCGCCGGAGGCGGAGCGCACUUCUCCCCGAGUAGGACGCCGCGACCCGCUGGGCGUCUGUCUGAGGCCCGGGUGCGAGUCCGGUUCGCCCCUCGGGGCGGCCCGGAGCCCCGGUGUCCCGGCAGUCUGCCCGGCGGUCUUGAGUACGGAGCUGGCCCGCGAACUCGCUUCGCGCCCGCGACCCUGGCGAGCGACGGCCGGUACCCGUCAGGCGGACUCGUCCGCCGCGGGCCGGCCGGCGUUGUCGGCCAGGGAUCCGCUCGGGCAGCGGUCACGCUAAAUCCCGUCUGCGGCGCUCAAAGCUGGGCGGCCCACCCGACCCGUCUUGAAACACGGACCAAGGAGUCUAACAUGUGCGCGAGUCAUUGGG
rnacentral:rRNA from 1 species